rnacentral:rRNA from 1 species
ACCCGAAGGUCGAAGGGAGAAAUUCAUUCGCGGCUCGUCGUCGGCGGCCGACGAAGGCGCUGGAGAGACGUUUUCGGACGUGUCUCUCGCACCUUUCGACGUUCGUCGAUCCGGCGACGAACGCGUGCACUUUUCUCCUGGUAGGACGUCGCGAUCCGUUGGGCGUCGAUCUAAGGCUCGGGGUGGAGCCCGUAAAUACGGUUUCGGCCGCGCAUAUUUACGGACCCUCGUGUCGUCUCAACCCGAUCGACUCGCUCGACGGUAUACGAAAGGUUUAGGGUCGCUACCCCUUUUACGAGAGAGGAGCGUUCGACUCGGGGCAAGCGCGCCAGAUGUAGUCGGCCAUCGGACCUGGUGCCGGUUCCGACCUCUGGUGACUGUUGGCCUCGAAGUUCUCGAACAGAUUUUUUUCAUCUGACCGUAGACCGAUCUGCGACGCUAUAGCUUUGGGUACUUUCAGGACCCGUCUUGAAACACGGACCAAGGAGUCUAGCAUGUGCGCGAGUCAUUGGGAAUCACUAAACCUAAAGGCGCAAUGAAAGUGAAAGUUCGUCUCGCACGAAUCUAGGGAAGAUGGGCGAUCAACCCUUAAAAGUUGUCGCUUCGCAUUCCCGGGGCGUCUCGUUCUCAUCGCGAGAAGAGGCGCACCAAGAGCGUACACGCUGGGACCCGAAAGAUGGUGAACUAUGCCUGGUCAGGACGAAGUCAGGGGAAACCCUGAUGGAGGUCCGUAGCGAUUCUGACGUGCAAAUCGAUCGUCGGAACUGGGUAUAGGGGC